rnacentral:rRNA from 1 species
UGACGAGAAGACCCCGUCAAACUUUAAUUAUCAUAUAUAAAAGUGAAAUACAAAAUAUAAAUUAAUUUUAGUUGGGGCAACUGGGAGGGAUAAAAAUCUUUUAUUAAAUCAUUUAUAAUAAUAUUUAUAUUUAUGAUCCAAAUUAGUUAAUUUUGAACUUAGAAU